rnacentral:rRNA from 1 species
CCUACGGGGGGCAGCAGUGAGGAAUAUUGGUCAAUGGCCGGAAGGCUGAACCAGCCAUGCCGCGUGAAGGUCAGUGCCCUAUGGGCGUUAAACUUCUUUUGUGCGGGAGCAAUAAUGGUCACGUGUGGCCAGACGAGAGUACCGUACGCAUAAGCAUCGGCUAACUCCGUGCAAGCAGCCGCGGUAAUACGGGGGAUGCAAGCGUUAUCCGGACUUAUUGGGUUUAAGGGGUGCGUAGGCUGUGAGGUAAGUCAGCGGUGAAAUGCACCCGCUCAACGGGGUGAAGUGCCAUUGAUACUGCCUUGCUGGAAUGCUGAUGCCGUGGGAGGAAUGUGUGUUGUAGCGGUGAAAUGCAUAGAUAUCACACAGAACACCGAUUGCGAAGGCAUCUCACGAAUCCGCGAUUGACGCUGAUGCACGAAAGCGUGGGUAUCAAACAGGAUUAGAUACCCUAGUAGUC